UGGCGACCGGCGCACGGGUGAGUAACGCGUAUGCAACUUACCUAUCAGAGGGGGAUAGCCCGGCGAAAGUCGGAUUAAUACCCCAUGAAACAGGGUCCCGCAUGGGAAUAUUUGUUAAAGAUUCAUCGCUGAUAGAUAGGCAUGCGUUCCAUUAGGCAGUUGGCGGGGUAACGGCCCACCAAACCGACGAUGGAUAGGGGUUCUGAGAGGAAGGUCCCCCACAUUGGAACUGAGACACGGUCCAA
rnacentral:rRNA from 1 species